CUGGGAAUGGGCAUCCAGUGAUGACAGAUUGAAUUAAUGGUCUUUAUCGCUGAUUCACUGACAAGGGUCUAAUCCUGGGAUGUCUGCCAUGAUAUGCAGCACAGAGCAUACACGGGAAAGCACAGACAAGGUUCUAACAAGUUCUAACUCGGAAAAGAGAGAAUGAGCCCAGCCCCCUUCCCUGCACAACUAUCUAUGGUUUUGGACGUGGUACUCUCUAGAAUGGCCUUUCUCCAUGCUAACAGGGACUGCUGGGAAUCUAUUUGCUGGCUAGUGUGGCCAAGCACAGGAGCUCUCCAGAUGGGAAACAUCUCUCUGGGAGAUUAGCAUGGUACGUCUGUCUCUGAGGGAAGCACCUGAACCCUGGGGCAGACACAAGGAAUGGGACCAGCCGCAGCAAUGAUGGAGAUCGGGAGGAGCAAGGAGCAAUUCACCUCCAGAGCACGAGAAGGACCAGUGCCAGUGGAAGGAGAACAAAAAGGACAUUACAACUACUGCCUGUAGCAUGACAGGCAGGCAGUUCCUGGGCUCCUGUGAGCUAGUUUCUGUUCCUGAAUUACCUGCUCUCAAGUAUUACCAUUCCUUUAAUGUAGCUUGAGGAUAUUGAAGAGCACAUGGACUAAAAAGUUUCUACAAACCUGCAUGUGCAAUUUUUUACCAGCUUCUUCUGGGUCUUCAAUUAUACAAGCAAUUAUUUCUGACCCUUCUAACAACAAUUACUCACAUUUCAAUAACCCUUUUCACAUGAACAUGUCACCACUCAGUCCACAAUUGAAGGUGAAGACCACUCCCGCUUACCAGCUGAUGAUCAGCAAAGGAAAUGGGCCUGAUAUGAUCUGUUAGAGACAGAUCUAACAUUUCAGUAGAACCUAUCUUUGUAAAGCAUCCAUAUUG